GGGACCAGACAGAGAGGUGAGGUAGAGGGGACCAGACAGAGAGGUGAGGAAGAGGGGACCAGACACAGAGGUGAGGAAGAGGGGACCAGACAGAGAGGUGAGGAAGAGGGGACCAGACAGAGAGGUGAGGAAGAGAAAUAGGCAGAGGGGACCGGACAGAGAGGUGAGGAAAAGAAAGAGCUAGAGGGGACCAGACACAGAGGUGAGGAAGGGUGACUAAAGUGGCCUUCGGGCUAGAGAAGCACCAUGGAACUUAGGAGAAGGGAGAGAGAAAGAGAGAAGGAAGAAGAGAGAGAGGGAGAGA